rnacentral:rRNA from 1 species
GAUGAACGCUGGCGGCGUGCCUAAUACAUGCAAGUCGAGCGAACAGACGGGGAGCUUGCUCCUCUGACGUUAGCGGCGGACGGGUGAGUAACACGUGGAUAACCUACCUAUAAGACUGGGAUAACUUCGGGAAACCGGAGCUAAUACCGGAUAACAUGUUGAACCGCAUGGUUCAACAGUGAAAGCCGGUCUUGCUGUCACUUAUAGAUGGAUCCGCGCCGCAUUAGCUAGUUGGUAAGGUAACGGCUUACCAAGGCAACGAUGCGUAGCCGACCUGAGAGGGUGAUCGGCCACACUGGAACUGAGACACGGUCCAGACUCCUACGGGAGGCAGCAGUAGGGAAUCUUCCGCAAUGGGCGAAAGCCUGACGGAGCAACGCCGCGUGAGUGAAGAAGGUCUUCGGAUCGUAAAACUCUGUUAUUAGGGAAGAACAAAUGUGUAAGUAACUAUGCACGUCUUGACGGUACCUAAUCAGAAAGCCACGGCUAACUACGUG